CGCCAGCUUUUCAUUUUAUUUCUAAAACAAUGGCGGACAGCACAAGCGGUAGACCACGAAGCUACAGACCGUAAAUAGACGUUUCCUGGAGGUGCUGCUGGUCCUCUGCUGCCCUCCCGACAUCUGGCUCCAAUGACCUCUGGCACCUCACAUCCACCUCCAGGGCCUUGAAGAAGAUGGACCGCCAUCGCGUCUUCAGUCUCCCGAAGGACCUCUCCACAACACACCUUUGACAGGCAGCAGUUGUAGCUUGGAGGUGGACAGGCUGCCUGAAGGGGGUCAUGAGGCAGAUGGGUUGGGACAGGCAGGGGGAGCCACCAUCCCCAAGGAUACAGUAUCCUGGUGGAGGGGAUGACUGCUCAUAGAAGAUGGGGCUGUUAUUCAGGACCCUGGCAUCAUGCUCUGAGUCUGGGUAGCCCACACACACCUAUGAAUUUGCACUUAUCAUCACAGAUGGCCUGCAGCUGGAUGGAAUGAAAAAGCUUCCCGUUAAAAUAGCAGGCAGCAUCCUCCGCUGGGGGCUUCACUCUGACGUGGCAGCCAUCAAUAGCCCCCACCACUCUGCUGAAGGCUGCCGACCAGCUAGACGGGCGAAGCGGGCAGGGGAAGGGAAGAUUAUAUUAAUAUGUAAGUCAUUUUAUCAAUAAAAUGUUGUCAUUGA